rnacentral:tRNA from 1 species
CCGGUGCGUAGGGCGGGAGUUCUUCGCCUUCUAAGCGAUGGUUAUUGGUUCGAGUCCAGUUGCCGGCCCA